ACACUUGGGCCUUACGAAAUACAGAGGGCAUUUACCAUCGGCCGAAGCUGCUAACACUCCAGAGAUAGGGUUUCGCUUCUGUUGCCCAAAACCCUUUUUCUUUUCUUUUCUCCUUCUUUCUCUUUUGGAUGCAUCCAUGGCGUGAAUCCGUACAACCCUAAUUCUCACUCCAAUUCUCAAUCUCCCUCAAAAGCCAUUUUCCUUCCUUCCUUCCCGAUAAAUUAAUUUUCCAGGUUUCUACUGAAACCCUAGAAAAUGUCGGGAGGGUUUUUCCGGGGUACGUCGGCUGAUCAGGACACUCGGUUCUCGAACAAACAGGCAAAGCUGUUGAAAUCUCAGAAGUUCGCUCCGGAAUUGGAUCAUCUGGUGGACGUGACAAAAGUGAAGAUGGAUGUUAUUAGGCCCUGGAUUGCUAACAGGGUGACUGAGCUUCUGGGAUUUGAAGACGAGGUUCUUAUCAACUUCAUUUAUGGGCUUCUUGAUAGAAAGGAUGUGAAUGGAAAGGAAGUUCAAAUAUCACUGACCGGGUUUAUGGAGAAAAAUACAGGUAAGUUUAUGAAAGAGCUUUGGGCGCUUCUUCUCAGUGCGCAGAAGAAUGCAAGUGGUGUCCCUCAACAGUUUUUGGAUGCCAAAGAAGAGGAAACUAGGAGGAAGAAGGUGGAGGCAGAUAGGAUUGCCAAUGAAAUUGAGAAGAAAAAAGAGAAAGAAAUUAAAGAACUGGAGCAGGAGAAAAUGAAGAAGAUGGACGGCGGGAUUGACAACUCAAAGGUCACAAAUGCUGUAUUGGAGCCAAUCUCAAAGCAUAUGCUGCCAAUGUCUUCCAAUGCCCACUCCAAAGAUGACAAAGGAACUGAAGAGAGGAAUGGCUUGAGAGGAAGGAACAGGGUUUCUAGAUCCCCCCAUUCAGCUGGUCAUUCUCCUUCAUCUCCUCGAGGCACUCCUUCAAGGUCAAUCAGCAAAUCAGUCUCCAAUUCAGGAAGCUAUCUAGAUGGAAGGCACAGGUCAAGGAGUGUAUCUGGAUCACCUCGACCACGGCGGCGGUCCCUUUCUUCUGAAAGGGUGCAUCACUCCCCAGAAAAACUUACACCUCGUCGAAGACAUUCACCUCUAGGAUCUCUCUCUCCCUCAAGAAGGAGAUCAUCUUAUUCUAGACGAAGAUCCACAUCAGUUUCGCGUCACAGAUCACCCUCUCCUAUGCGGCGUAGAUUGCGUUCUCCAGGGCGACGCAGAUCACAAACUCCUGUGCGACGUAGAUCUCCACGCAGGUCACCACCUGGAUGGCGUAGAUCCCGUUCACCUGGACGACGCAGAUCCCGUUCACCUGGACGACGCAGAUCCCGUUCUCCUGGGCGACGCAGAUCCCGUUCUCCUGGGCGACGUAGAUCCCGUUCUCCUGGGCGACGUAGAUCUCCAUCUCCUUUGCGGCGUAGAUCUCUAUCACCUGCAUGGCGUGGAUCCCCCCCUCCUUUGAGGCGCAGAUCACCAACGCCGAAACGACGUAGGUCACCAACUUAUAAGUUACCUUCUCCUGUUCGACGGUGGCGUCGAAGAUCUCCAACUCCCCGGCACAGGUCUCCAUCGCCAGUAAGACGUAGGUCUCCAAUACCUGCCCGUCGGAGAUCACCGUCUCCUUUUCGACGAAGAUCCCCUUCAUCAAAUGGAUGGAGUUCAUCCUCUCCUAUUAGACAUAGGUCUCCUUCACCAGUCCAAAGGAAAUCCCCAAAGCGCCAGAGGAGGUCACCUGUGCAAUCCCCUAGAGAAAGAAUCAGGACUCGUGAGAAAUCAUCUCCUGUUCAUCGUGAUACUUUAAGAGAGAAAGUUGAACAUGAUGUUGAGACACGCAGACGACCAGAUUCUUUGUCACAUCGAACCCCAAUUUCUAUGAGAUCACCACAGAGAGAUCCAAAGGACCAAAACAACUUCCGUAAUAAAGUGCCAUCUUUGUCAGCUUCACCUGAGAAGUCUCGAAGUCUGUCAGAGUCUCCAGCACACAUAAGGAAAAGCAGUUCUAGUGAAGAUAGGAGGUCUCCCAGUCCAUAUGAGAGUCCUGUGAGGCAAACAAGGAAACGCCCCAGUCCUCCACCAAAACCAAGGCAACAGAAACCUCGUCAUGAGAGUCCAGAAACUAGUGUAGAGGAGGAAGAAUAUGCCAGGGAAGAUGGGGAUCAUAGAUCCAAGUCUUUAGAGAAGAGGUCCACCUAUCCAUCCAUGGUGGGUAAGCAGAGAGAUUCUCCUGUGAAAGUUCAUUCCAAGGAAGAGUACUCUCCUGAAAGAUUAUCUGGUCGUCGAGCUAAUGAAACCCGGGGCCAUUCCGAGAACACAGAAUUGAGAAAAGAAAGCCAAAAGAUAAAAAGUGAGAGAGCUUCUGGAAGAGUCUCCCAUCACAAAGUUCUUGAUCAACAGAAGUCCCCUUACAAAGAUUCCUUAUUAGGUGAGAGGCAGCAGACAUCAUACUCUGGAGAAGGUUACAAAGUUGAUGAGAAGAAGAAUUCUCACCCUAAGGAUUUGGAUCACAAAUCGGACGCUCUACCAAAAUCCUUAGUAAAAGUUGGUCAGAAAAAUCAGAGUGGUCCUUUUGAUUCUGGUUCUGAGGAAAGUGAUAAGCACAGAUCUGAAGGUAAGGAAAGGAGAAAGCAUAAGAGGUCAGAUAGGCAUGAAGCGGCAUCAGAUGAAGACAGUUAUGAUUCCCAAAUAGAUGGGAGGAAAGAGGCCAAGAGAAGAAAAAAGGAGGAAAAAAGACUGCGAAAAGAGGAGAGGCGUAGAAGGCGCGAAGAACGACGUCGCAGAAGGGAAGACCGGCGUGCAGAGAAGCUGAAAGGGAAAUCAAGGGACACUGUCACUCCACCUUCAGAUUUUGAUAAAAAUCAAAGUGAUGCAUAUGUUUCAGAUGGGGAACAUGCUUCAAGGAGGGAACCUCAUUCAAGUGAAUCUGAAGAAGCUGAGUCUGAGCAGAAAAAGCUUGAGAUUGAGUUACGGAAAAAGGCUCUUGAAUCUCUUAGAGCUAAGAGGGGUGUUGGUCACUAAUUUUGUCAAUGCUUGGAAAUUUGGCUGUCAUUUUUCCGGUUUUAUCCCCAUUGCGCAGUAUCUUUUAACAUUUGCUAGGAAUUUUUUUGUUUUGAAUGAGAGUGUAUUUAAAUAUUGAUAGCUGUUUAAUGUAGUCUGUCUUUACUGCUGGCAGCUGAAUUGGAUAAAUGAGGACUUCCUGAGCUAUUCUGUUGAGUACAACUUAAUGCUGAAGUUACGUUGCUGCUAGAUUUUCUGAUGAAAAUAUUACCCACACUACAUGACUUGGUUGAGCAGAUCUUGUGCAGUUCAACAUGUUGAACAUCAAACCAGGUGAAGUGUUUUCAUUCUUUAAUGGGCUAUUUUAGAACAGGGACCCUGUAUAUAGGUUAAUCCUCUUUGGAUGUAGACUCCUAUUUGACUGUAUUUUGGAUUAACCUCUGGCAUGCUUGGCAGCUUGAGAGUUGUUCCUGGGAUUUUGUUUUCUAAAAUUCUCCGUGGUGCUCUAGGCUUGCGACUCAUCCUGUCCUGAUGUUGAUCCUGCUGUUAAGUCUGUUCAGAUGGUGGCAUCAGUAUGUAUUGCUUCUAUAAAGAUAUUACUUUGACAUUGUUGUAGUUUGUUGAACUUUAUUCUAUUGAUAACUUAUUCAUUUUGGGUUUC